UUUAGUAUUCGAUCCAGAACUCCGAGCACUAGCAGUUCUCGACGUGGAAGAAGUAGAGCUGAUUCUACAACGAAUAGUGACUCUGAUGAAGAUGACACCGACAGAACACCCCAAAAAUCUUUAAGAAGAGGCGUUAGAUUUUCUAUACUAGAAGAAAAAACACCCGGUACAUCAAAAACUUUGAGAAGGAAGCAAGAACCACGAGCUUCGUCUACACCAACCACAGGUAGGAGAAUGCGGACUUGAAUUAAACUUAA